AAAAUGGUGUUAUUUGACACCAUUAAAAAAAAUUUCCAGAAUUUUU
rfam:Folsomia candida strain VT population Fcan01_Sc015, whole genome shotgun sequence.